UACAACUUAUCCUAAUCCCCUCACCAACAAGAUUGAUGUAAAGAUUGUUCACUCAAUACAUAAAAUCAGACACCAAAACAAUCGAACUGGUUAGCAUCCCAAGAAAAUCACAAUUGUGCCCGCCAAAUUAUCAUUUCCCACCUAUAAAGUUCUUUACGCAGUUGCAAAGUUUUCAUAGUUGGCACCCCCAUUAGCCGAAGUUCAAACCCUGCAAGAAAAAAACUUCUAUGGAAGAAUCCAAACAGCAAGAAAUUUAGCCAAACCGAUGAAGAGUCUCCGAGUCUCUGCGA
rnacentral:misc_RNA from 1 species